rnacentral:rRNA from 1 species
GGGUCGCGUCCUAUCAGCUUGUUGGUGAGGUAACGGCUCACCAAGGCUUCGACGGGUAGCCGGCCUGAGAGGGCGACCGGCCACAUUGGGACUGAGAUACGGCCCAGACUCCUACGGGAGGCAGCAGUGGGGAAUAUUGCACAAUGGGCGCAAGCCUGAUGCAGCGACGCCGCGUGAGGGAUGGAGGCCUUCGGGUUGUAAACCUCUUUUGUUUGGGAGCAAGCCUUCGGGUGAGUGUACCUUUCGAAUAAGCGCCGGCUAACUACGUGCCAGCAGCCGCGGUAAUACGUAGGGCGCAAGCGUUAUCCGGAUUUAUUGGGCGUAAAGGGCUCGUAGGCGGCUCGUCGCGUCCGGUGUGAAAGUCCAUCGCUUAACGGUGGAUCUGCGCCGGGUACGGGCGGG